CUUUUGAUAUCUGCAAAUAUCGUAUCGUUGUCCAAUGAAUCGAUAUAAUAUCGUAUCGUGAUGAAUCCAGAGAUUUACACCCCCAAAAAACCCUAAAUGAAUGUUGUAUUUUCCUGCUGCAUCAGACGAGCAGUUGUAUUACAGCUUCCAGGGAAAACCUUGCUUGGUGGUGUGUAACCAGGAGCAAGUCUGUAAUGCCCUAAAGGAGUGCCAUGACAAUCUUGGCAGUGGGGGUCAUCCAGGGAGAUGCCGAACAACAGAAAAAGUAUUGGCGUCCUACCAUUGGAAAACACUGAGGGAGGAUGUAAAAAAAUGGGUGAGUGUUAUUAGUACUGAAGGAAAUGUUAAUUAAUUUGAUGGAACGGUUCCAGAUUGAUAGGUAAGACAACUUUAAAUGUAACUUCCUACACAACAUUAGUUAUACAUUAGUUAACCUUUUUUUUUCUGUCACUGUCACUCGAAAGCCACGGACAGAGGUUUGCAUACUGGACAAAUGAGGCCACAGCAUUGCUCCAAGGAUCACUGCAGCCGAUCUACAGGAUCCCGAAGACCAGAAAAAGGGAUCAUGAGGUGAGCAUGAUGUUGAUGGCAGAGGACACCCAGUGUCAUGCUCCUUUUUGUUAUAGACUCAUUAAUGCAAUUCAGGUUUCUUAUUCUUACAUGUCUAUAUUGAUACAUAAAUAAUUUUCCCUCAAAGGUUCAGUUUGAAAAGGCCGACAGGUGCUUCAUAUUGGAGAUGCCAACAUCUGUGCUUGAUGAAAUCCUCAAAGAGGUGGUGCUCCAGGAAGGAGAUAAUGUCUACCUGACAUUGGCUCUGGUGUUGCUACAUGGAGUAGGUUUUCUGCAACGUACAAAAAAGCUUUCUGCACCAUGUACACCAUUGACACCUGCCUUGGAUGUGGACGACUAUAUAAAAACUGCACACCA